rnacentral:rRNA from 1 species
CAGUAGCCGCGGUAAUACGUAGGGGGCAAGCGUUAUCCGGAGUUACUGGGUGUAAAGGGAGCGUAGACGGUUAAACAAGUCUGAAGUGAAAUGCCGGGGCUCAACCCCGGAGCUGCUUUGGGAACUGUAGAACUGGAGUGUCGGAGGGGUAAGCGGAAUUCCCAGUGUAGCGGUGAAAUGCGUAGAUAUUGGGAGGAACACCGGCGGCGAAGGCGGCUUACUGGACGACAACUGACGUUGAGGCUCGAAGGCGUGGGUAGCAAACAGGAUUAGAUACCCCUGUAGUCCCUGUCUCUUAUAC